rnacentral:rRNA from 1 species
CAAUAGCGUAUAUUAAAGUUGUUGCAGUUAAAAAGCUCGUAGUUGGAUUUCUGGUAGGAGUGACCGUUCCGAACUUGAUUGUUCGUGUAUUGUGUUUUCUCCAGCCAUCCUUGUGGAGAACUUUUCUUGCAUUAAUUUGUAGGGAUUGGGACCCGCAUCGUUUACUGUGAAAAAAUUAGAGUGUUUAAAGCAGGCAAUCGCUUGAAUACAUUAGCAUGGAAUAAUAAGAUAGGACUUUGGUACUAUUUUGUUGGUUUGCAUACCAAAUUAAUGAUCAACAGGAACUGUUUGAGGAUAUUCGUAUGAACAUGUCAGAGGUGAAAUUCUUGGAUUUUGAUCAGACGAACUACUGCGAAAGCGUUUAUCAAGGAUGUUUUCAUUAA